AACCCGCUCGGUCCUCUUACACACUGUGGUAGCUUUGUUCUUUUGCUCUUUGCAAUAAAUCUUGCUACUGCUCACUCUUUGGGUCCACACUGCCUUUAUGAGCUGUAACACUCACCGGGAAGGUCUGCAGCUUCACUCCGGAAGCCAGCGAGACCAGGAGCCCACCGGAAGGAACAAACAACUCCAGACGCCCCGCCUUGAGAGCUGUAACACUCACCCUGAAGGUCUGCGGCUUCACUCCUGAGCCAGCGAGACCACGAACCCACCAGAAGGAAGAAACUGAACACAUCUGAACAUCAGAAGGAACAAACUCCGGACACGCCGCCUUUAAGAACGGCCUCAAGCUACUGUGGAAAAACCAUAUCGCAUUCAAAAGUGUCUUUCAACUAUAAAAAGAAUACCCCAGAGAAUCUUCUCCAAAAACAUUUCUUCCAGCUGUCUGUGGGGCCUUGUGAAAUCAAAGGUAACUUUUAGCUCAUGAGUCGGCAAACAAAACUUUGAAAUUCAUAUAUCCUUUUCCAGUGGGUUGGUUUGGGAAAAUUUAUGGUUUUCCUGCCCUUGGGAUAAUCCUAGCCCUGAAAAUAUUCUGUAUCAUAGUGGAGAAGAUAAAGAAAGAAAAGAAUAGUGAAA
rnacentral:lncRNA from 1 species